rnacentral:lncRNA from 1 species
UGUGAGAGGGUGUCAUAAUUUUUAAGAAAAGAUAUCAUAAUUAUAUUUGUGCAUAUAUUCAUCAACUUUGUUCCUCCGAGACUCAUAAUUCAGGCCACGGAUGAUAGAAAGUAUUGAUAGGAGGGGUUAAUGCCUUUGAUUUUUUUUAUUUAGUGUUGGAGUAUAAUAAUUUUUUUGAAAGAGUGUCAUAAUUUUUGUGAAGGGG